CCUACGGGUGGCAGCAGUGGGGAAUAUUGGACAAUGGGCGAAAGCCUGAUCCAGCCAUGCCGCGUGUGUGAAGAAGGCCUUCGGGUUGUAAAGCACUUUCAGUGGGGAAGAAAGCCUUGGGGCUAAUACCCUCGAGGAAGGACAUCACCCACAGAAGAAGCACCGGCUAACUCCGUGCCAGCAGCCGCGGUAAUACGGAGGGUGCGAGCGUUAAUCGGAAUUACUGGGCGUAAAGCGCGCGUAGGCGGUCUGAUAAGCCGGUUGUGAAAGCCCCGGGCUCAACCUGGGAACGGCAUCCGGAACUGUCAGGCUAGAGUGCAGGAGAGGAAGGUAGAAUUCCCGGUGUAGCGGUGCAAUGCGUAGAGAUCGGGAGGAAUACCAGUGGCGAAGGCGGCCUUCUGGACUGACACUGACGCUGAGGUGCGAAAGCGUGGGUAGCAAACAGGAUUAGAUACCCGUGUAGUC
rnacentral:rRNA from 1 species